GAUGAACGCUGGCGGCGUGCUUAACACAUGCAAGUCGAACGAUGAAGCCCAGCUUGCUGGGUGGAUUAGUGGCGAACGGGCGAGUAACACGUGAGUAACCUGCCCUUGACUCUGGGAUAAGCCCGGGAAACUGGGUCUAAUACCGGAUAGGAGCGCCUGUCGCAUGACGGGUGCUGGAAAGAUUUUUCGGUCAUGGAUGGACUCGCGGCCUAUCCGCUUGUUGGUGAGGUAAUGGCUAACCAAGGCGACGACGGGUAGCCGGCCUGAGAGGGUGACCGGCCACACUGGGACUGAGAGACGGCCCAGACUCCUACGGGAGGCAGCAGUGGGGAAUAUUGCACAAUGGGCGGAAGCCUGAUGCAGCGGCGCCGCGUGAGGGAUGACGGCCUUCGGGUUGUAAACCUCUUUCAGUAGGGAAGAAGCGAAAGUGACGGUACCUGCAGAAGAAGCACCGGCUAACUACGUG
rnacentral:rRNA from 1 species